AACACAUGCAAGUCGAGCGGGGAAGUAUAGCUUGCUAUACGACCUAGCGGCGGACGGGUGAGUAAUGCUUAGGAAUCUGCCUAUUAGUGGGGGACAACAUUCCGAAAGGAAUGCUAAUACCGCAUACGCCCUACGGGGGAAAGCAGGGGAUCUUCGGACCUUGCGCUAAUAGAUGAGCCUAAGUCAGAUUAGCUAGUUGGUGGGGUAAAGGCCUACCAAGGCGACGAUCUGUAGCGGGUCUGAGAGGAUGAUCCGCCACACUGGGACUGAGACACGGCCCAGACUCCUACGGGAGGCAGCAGUGGGGAAUAUUGGACAAUGGGCGAAAGCCUGAUCCAGCCAUGCCGCGUGUGUGAAGAAGGCCUUUUGGUUGUAAAGCACUUUAAGCGAGGAGGAGGCUACCGAGAUUAAUACUCUUGGAUAGUGGACGUUACUCGCAGAAUAAGCACCGGCUAACUCUGUGCCAGCAGCCGCGGUAAUACAGAGGGUGCGAGCGUUAAUCGGAUUUACUGGGCGUAAAGCGUGCGUAGGCGGCUUUUUAAGUCGGAUGUGAAAUCCCUGAGCUUAACUUAGGAAUUGCAUUCGAUACUGGGAAGCUAGAGUAUGGGAGAGGAUGGUAGAAUUCCAGGUGUAGCGGUGAAAUGCGUAGAGAUCUGGAGGAAUACCGAUGGCGAAGGCAGCCAUCUGGCCUAAUACUGACGCUGAGGUACGAAAGCAUGGGGAGCAAACAGGAUUAGAUACCCUGGUAGUCCAUGCCGUAAACGAUGACUACUAGCCGUUGGGGCCUUUGAGGCUUUAGUGGCGCAGCUAACGCGAUAAGUAGACCGCCUGGGGAGUACGGUCGCAAGACUAAAACUCAAAUGAAUUGACGG
rnacentral:rRNA from 1 species